rnacentral:lncRNA from 1 species
GUAGGUGGCUGCCGCGGCGAUGUGGGCGGCUUGCGUGUGGCCGAUCGGGGUCGCUGCUGAGCCCCGGAGAGCGGAGGGUCCAGGCUAGGCUGGGGGAGCGAGAGGCGAGGGCGGAGCCGCGGAGGUGUGGGCGGCUUUCGUGGUCCGAGAGGCCCCAGGUUCCCGGCAGGGCGGGGAAGGCUGGGGCGGGGCCAGAGCCGGAGCCGCGAAGCCGCGAUGGAGAGGGCCUGGAGGGUGCGCCAGGAGCCGGCGUCAGGGCCUGCCUCCAUCUCCUCCAACCCCCACCCCAUUUAUUCCUGUAACAAAUCCCUACCGGGAGCUGGCACAGCAGCUGUGCGCUGGGGACACACGAGAUGCUCACCCUCCCUGCCCUCCAGGAGCUUGGACUCAGCUGAGAUGCCUGGUAUCCAACUGCACUUCUCCAUGUGUGCAUUGUCCCCUGAGCUGGCAAGAAGAUCCUACUAGUUGGUCUGCAUGCCAUGCCAGCUCGGCCUUGCACCCUGGGGGCCCAGCUGUUGUCCACACCAAGGGUGGCCUACAGAGGGAAGUGAGGACCUUGGGACUUCCUCCAGGACAGCCCUCGCUGUCCAAAUCUCCACCUGCUGCAGAGCUGCCUCCAGUCAAGCCCUUGUUUCCAGCUUUCUGUGCCCUAAAUAAACUUCUGCUGGGAUUGAGCCAUCAGCAUUCUGUGGUGGGCGUCGCUGCUGCGAGGUUGCCCUCGUGCACACAAGCUCCUCACAGGACUUCCAGGAUGAUAUGGAAGAGUGACUGAGAGCAGCCGCCCGGUGCUUCCCAACCUUAGAGGGAGGUCACGGGCAGUCUCCCUGCGAUGCUGGCCACAGGGUCUCGCUGUGUCGCCCAGGCUGGAGGGCAGUGGUGUGAUCUGGACUCACUGCAGCCUCGACCUGUUGGGCUCAAGUGAUCCUCUCACGUCAGCCUCCAAGUAGCCAAGACCACAGGCAGGCGUCACCAUGCCCAGCCCCCAUGAUGACUUUACUUUUCUUCUUGAACCUGGUGAAUUUCUGUGUUAACAUGUCUGAUUUGAACCCUUCUGAUAUUCCUGAGAUAAACUUUAUGUGACCUUGGUAUUCUGUUGGAUUUUGGUUAGCUGAUACUUCAAGAUUUUUAUAAAACUGGGUUGCAAUUUAUUUGUGUUCCCGUUUCUAGCUGUCUAUGAGCUUCAUCAAAUGGGCAGGACCACUUUCCCUUAACUUCUCCUUUUCUGGAACAACGGACAUAUCCUGUGGAUUAUCUGUUCCCCACAGAGUCCUGGAAGUUAAAUGCUCUAUUUCCCAGCCUCCCUUGCAGCUAGGAGCAGUCAUGUGACUCCAUUCUGGCCAACGAGAUACAAGAAACACUUGCUGACAGGUGCAAUCAGAAAGCGUUUGCUUUUCCAGUAACAUGUAGGACCAGUCACCUUUUUGCAUUUCCCCUUUCUUCUUGAUUCGAACAUUGCAUUGCCGUCAUGUUUGGAGAUGAGUCAGCCAUCUUGCAAAUAGGAGGCAGCAAGACUGAGGGAAAUGCCAUCCUGCUUCAGAGGGCAGAAUGGAAAGAGAAGCCUAAGAUGGCAAUGGUACGGUUGGGCAGCUGAGUCAGGACUGGGGCCACUGCCUCUCGGUUUCAAGGGAGAAAAAUAAACCCCUGUUUGUUGGCCUCAUGCUAGGUUGGAUUUUCUUUUACUUAAAGCCAAGACAUUUCUAACAUACAAAACCAGACACAUGUGCAUGCCACACGUACAUCACAAGUGAUCACAUGCUGUCCGACUAGCACCUCGAUUUUUCCACUGAACCAUCAGUCUUGCAGAUCAUCCUUUAUCAGUGCCUGGCAACUUGUCUUGCCCUUGUUUUCUUGGGUUUUUGUUUUUGUUUUUGUUUAAGACAAGGUCUCAUCUGUUGCCCAGGCUGGAGUGCAUUGGCACAAUCAUAGCUCACUACAGCCUGGACCUUCUGGGCUCAGCAGUCCUCCGUCCUCAGCCUCCCGAGUAGCUGGUACUAAAGGCAUGUGCCACCAUGCCCGG